GCGGAUGUAGCCAAGUGGAUCAAGGCAGUAGUUGUGAAUCCACCAUGCAUGUGCGGGUUCCAUUCCCAUCAUCCUCA